rnacentral:rRNA from 1 species
AUUGAACGCUGGCGGCAUGCCUUACACAUGCAAGUCGAACGGCAGCACGGGUGCUUGCACCUGGUGGCGAGUGGCGAACGGGUGAGUAAUACAUCGGAACAUGUCCUGUAGUGGGGGAUAGCCCGGCGAAAGCCGGAUUAAUACCGCAUACGAUCUACGGAUGAAAGCGGGGGACCUUCGGGCCUCGCGCUAUAGGGUUGGCCGAUGGCUGAUUAGCUAGUUGGUGGGGUAAAGGCCUACCAAGGCGACGAUCAGUAGCUGGUCUGAGAGGACGACCAGCCACACUGGGACUGAGACACGGCCCAGACUCCUACGGGAGGCAGCAGUGGGGAAUUUUGGACAAUGGGCGAAAGCCUGAUCCAGCAAUGCCGCGUGUGUAAGAAGGCCUGCGGGUUGUAAAGCACUUUUGUCCGGAAAGAAAUCCUUGGCCCUAAUACGGUCGGGGGAUGACGGUACCGGAAGAAUAAGCACCGGCUAACUACGU